rnacentral:rRNA from 1 species
AAGGUGGGGAUGAACGUCAAAUCAUCACUGCCCCUUAUGACCUGGGCUACACACGUGCUACAAUGGGCGGUACAAAGGGUCGCGAACCCGCGAGGGGGAGCCAAUCCCAAAAGACCGCUCUCAGUUCGGAUUGCAGGCUGCAACUCGCCUGCAUGAAGCCGGAAUCGCUAGUAAUCGCGGAUCAGCAUGCCGCGGUGAAUACGUUCCCGGGCCUU